CCCGCCGCCUGACGUCAGCGCGCCAACAAUCCCGCACGAGGCUCCGCCAGUGACAGUUGGCGGAGCCUCGGCCUAACGGUGACCCGCUGCCCCAGACCAGGUAGUGUCCGUUAGUGACGGUGACCCGCUGCCCCAGACCAGGUAGUGUCCAUUAGUGACGGUGACCCGCUGCCCCAGACCAGGUAGUAGUGUCCAUUAGUGAUGGUGACCCGCUGCCUCAGAUCAGGUAGUGUCCAUUAGUGAUGGUGACCCGCUGCCCCAGACCAGGUAGUAGUGUCCGUUAGUGACGGUGACCCGCUGCCCCAGAUCAGGUAGUAGUGUCCGUUAGUGACGGUGACCCGCCGUCUCAAACCAGGUAGUGUCCAUUAGUGACGGUGAUCUGGUAACCCAGACCAGGUUGUGUCCGUUAGUGAUGGUGAUCCAGACCAGGCAGUGUCUGUUAGUGAUGGUGACCCAGACCAGGUAGUGUCCAUAGUUAAGGUGAUCUAGACUAGGUAGUGUCUAUUAGUGAUGGUGACCCAGACCUGGUAGUGUCCGCUAGUGAUGGUGACCCAGACCAGGUAAUGUCUGUUAGUGGAGUCUGGGCCCCGGGUGGCGACCGAGACC